rnacentral:rRNA from 1 species
GACGAACGCUUUCGGCGUGCUUAACACAUGCAAGUCGAACGGAAAGGCCCUGCUUUUGUGGGGUGCUCGAGUGGCGAACGGGUGAGUAACACGUGAGUAACCUGCCCUUGACUUUGGGAUAACUUCAGGAAACGGGGGCUAAUACCGGAUAGGAGCUCCUGCUGCAUGGUGGGGGUUGGAAAGUUUCGGCGGUUGGGGAUGGACUCGCGGCUUAUCAGCUUGUUGGUGGGGUAGUGGCUUACCAAGGCUUUGACGGGUAGCCGGCCUGAGAGGGUGACCGGCCACAUUGGGACUGAGAUACGGCCCAGACUCCUACGGGAGGCAGCAGUGGGGAAUAUUGCACAAUGGGCGGAAGCCUGAUGCAGCAACGCCGCGUGCGGGAUGACGGCCUUCGGGUUGUAAACCGCUUUCGCCUGUGACGAAGCGUGAGUGACGGUAAUGGGUAAAGAAGCACCGGCUAACUACGUGCCAGCAGCCGCGGUGAUACGUAGGGUGCGAGCGUUGUCCGGAUUUAUUGGGCGUAAAGGGCUCGUAGGUGGUUGAUCGCGUCGGAAGUGUAAUCUUGGGGCUUAACCCUGAGCGUGCUUUCGAUACGGGUUGACUUGAGGAAGGUAGGGGAGAAUGGAAUUCCUGGUGGAGCGGUGGAAUGCGCAGAUAUCAGGAGGAACACCAGUGGCGAAGGCGGUUCUCUGGGCCUUUCCUGACGCUGAGGAGCGAAAGCGUGGGGAGCGAACAGGCUUAGAUACCCUGGUAGUCCACGCUGUAAACGGUGGGUACUAGGUGUGGGGUCCAUUCCACGGGUUCCGUGCCGUAGCUAACGCUUUAAGUACCCCGCCUGGGGAGUACGGCCGCAAGGCUAAAACUCAAAGGAAUUGACGGGGCCCCGCACAUGCGGCGGAGCAUGCGGAUUAAUUCGAUGCAACGCGUAGAACCUUACCUGGGUUUGACAUGGAUCGGGAGUGCUCAGAGAUGGGUGUGCCUCUUUUGGGGUCGGUUCACAGGUGGUGCAUGGCUGUCGUCAGCUCGUGUCGUGAGAUGUUGGGUUAAGUCCCGCAACGAGCGCAACCCUUGUUCACUGUUGCCAGCACGUUAUGGUGGGGACUCAGUGGAGACCGCCGGGGUCAACUCGGAGGAAGGUGGGGAUGACGUCAAGUCAUCAUGCCCCUUAUGUCCAGGGCUUCACGCAUGCUACAAUGGCUGGUACAGAGAGUGGCGAGCCUGUGAGGGUGAGCGAAUCUCGGAAAGCCGGUCUCAGUUCGGAUUGGGGUCUGCAACUCGACCUCAUGAAGUCGGAGUCGCUAGUAAUCGCAGAUCAGCAACGCUGCGGUGAAUACGUUCCCGGGGCU